GCCCGGCUUCGUGACGCUUGCCUUUCGGAGCCGCUUGCCGCUUCUCCGCAGCCCUGGACCAGAGGGGACAAGCGAUGCUGCCCGAGCCCCCGCCCCUGGGCUUCGGGACAGGGACGCGGGGCGCCUGAAAGGACUGCUACCGCGGCUUCUGCGCCAAGGCAACCGGGGCUGGAGGGGGCCUCCGAGUUGUUCUUUGGGGGCGGAAGCUGCGGGCCGCGCCUCCCAGGCCGCGCCCUUCCCAGAGACCAGUUUCUGGGCUUUUUAAGGUCAAGUUUUUUGUGCCGCAGAGCGGGCCGGGAUCGUCUCCCUGCGAGGUGGCGGUGCCUACCACAGCGGGUCGGGAGCUUCUGGGAUCCGAGCCGAGAAACGGGACGCUCGAGUCCAUUUGCAGUCUUCACGUAGGAAACGGUGCUAGAACAACAAACCAGAAGAUUAACAGAGUUGGGGCUAAUAUAAUGCGUUUAAUUGUCUCAUGGCCC
rnacentral:lncRNA from 1 species